ACACUCCUCUGACAGAAUGAAUGCCCUCGAUGGUGUUCCCUUCAAGUUGCCCAAGGGCUUUGUGAUAGGCACAGAGCCUCUCCCUGGGCCAGAACUCAGCAUCCCAGCCUGCGGGGAGGUUCUGCUGGGUUCUAUGUACGACUUCAGCCUGGAGAGGACGGCACUCUUCUGGGUGGAGGCCGCCGGCCAGGGACCCAGCCCGUACCAGUGCGGUGACCCGGGGACAGCGUCAGCCCCUCCAGCCUGGCUCUUGCUAGUCAGCCCCGAACAUGGGCUGGCGCCUGCGCCUACCACAAUCAGAGACCCAGAGGCCGGACACCAGGAAAGGCCGGAGGAGGAGGGUGAGGACGAGGCAGAAGCCUCCUCUGGCAGCGAGGAAGAGCCGGCCCCCAGCAGCCUCCAACCGGGUUCCCCAGCGAGCCCCGGCCCGGGCCGUCGCCUGUGCUCGCUGGACGUGCUGCGCGGCGUGCGGUCGGAGCUGGCAGGAGCGCGGCGGCGGCUCUCCGAGGGGAAGCUGGUUGCCCGGCCCCGCGCCCUCCUGCACGGCCUCCGCGGCCACCGCGCGCUAAGCCUGUGCCCAAGCCCCGCGCCGUCCCCCAGGUCCGCAUCACCCCCGGGGCCCGCGCCCCAGCACCCCGCUGCCCCCGCGUCGCCCCCGCGGCCCUCCACGGCAGGCGCCAUCCCCCCGCUGCGGAGCAACAAGCCCACGGUCGCGUCCCUCAGCCCGUACACCUGUCUGCCACCUCUUGGGGGGGCACCCCAGCCUCUCAACCCCCACAAGUCACACCCUGAUCCUGCGGCUGACCUGCUGUCUGCCCUGAGCCAGGAGGAGCAAGACCUCAUUGGGCCAGUGGUCGCCCUGGGAUAUCCCCUGCGAAGGGCCAUCAUAGCUCUGCAGAAGACAGGGAGGCAGAGCCUGAGCCAGUUUCUCAGCUACCUCAGUGCCUGUGACCGCCUGUUACGUCAGGGAUAUGAGGAAGGCCUGGUGGACGAGGCCAUGGAGAUGUUCCAGUUCUCUGAGAGCCAGGCAGGGGAGUUCCUGCGCCUCUGGGAGCAGUUCAGUGACAUGGGCUUCCAGCAGGACCGGAUCAAAGAGGUGCUGCUGGUCCAUGGCAACCGCCGAGAGCAAGCCCUGGAGGAGCUGGUGGCCUGUGCCCAGUGACCAUGGAGGCACUCCACGAUGCCUGGGCAUCCAGGCCCAGUGCCAGACCUGGUGACUCAUCCUAACUGUAUUAUUAAAACCAAGGUGGGGAGGUUGCGACCAGAGUUGUCUCCAGUCACCCAAGGCCUAUCGUUCAGAAGUCCCCAAGCAUUGAGGGGACCAGUUGCUGGAGCGGCCCAUAACUCAAGCAAGCAGAGGCCAGGGGCCAAGACUCUGGUGCCUCUGUCCUCCCCAGCCGGCCCUGCGCAAAGACCUGAAACAAUUACCGCAGAAUCAAAACAUCUCAGCCCCCUCCACCCUGCAAACAGGGCUGGACCUGGAACUGAGAGGCCUAUAAAAAAAAAACGAACAACUUCCACGUUUCUCAGGGCUUCAACCCCAGAGACUCAUCUGAAUGUGUAAUGGGGACUUCUGCAGGCCUACACACAGCAAGCUUGCAACUAGAACCAGGUCUCCAGAGGCCCAAUAGCCCCUCGGUGGUUUCCACUAAGUCUCAAUGCCUGCCAACUUGAAAUCACAAUAAAAAUAUUCUUUGGCCUUAAAA